UACGUAGGGGGCGAGCGUUAUCCGGAAUUAUUGGGCGUAAAGAGUGCGUAGGUGGUUACCUAAGCGCAAGGUUUAAUCUUGAGGCUCAACCUCAUUCUGCCUUGCGAACUGGGCUACUUGAGUGCAGGAGGGGAAAGCGGAAUUCAUAGUGUAGCGGUGAAAUGCGUAGAUAUUAGGAAGAACACCGGUGGCGAAGGCGGCUUUCUGGACUGUAACUGACACUGAGGCACGAAAGCGUGGGGAGCAAACAGGAUUAGAUACCCUGGUAGUCCCU
rnacentral:rRNA from 1 species